rnacentral:rRNA from 1 species
AGUGAACGCUGGCGGUAGGCCUAACACAUGCAAGUCGAACGGCAGCACAGUAAGAGCUUGCUCUUACGGGUGGCGAGUGGCGGACGGGUGAGGAAUACAUCGGAAUCUACUUUUUCGUGGGGGAUAACGUAGGGAAACUUACGCUAAUACCGCAUACGACCUACGGGUGAAAGCAGGGGAUCUUCGGACCUUGCGCGAUUGAAUGAGCCGAUGUCGGAUUAGCUAGUUGGCGGGGUAAAGACCCACCAAGGCGACGAUCCGUAGCUGGUCUGAGAGGAUGAUCAGCCACACUGGAACUGAGACACUGUCCAGACUCCUACGGGAGGCAGCAGUGGGGAAUAUUGGACAAUGGGCGCAAGCCUGAUCCAGCCAUACCGCGUGGGUGAAGAAGGCCUUCGGGUUGUAAAGCCCUUUUGUUGGGAAAGAAAAGCAGCAGGUUAAUACCCCGCUGUUCUGACGGUACCCAAAGAAUAAGCACCGGCUAACUUCGUG